UGGAAAUAUUAUUUUUAUUUAUUAUGGCUGCUAACUUUAAUAAGAAGAAAAAAUUUUUCUUCAUUUCCAA
rnacentral:tRNA from 1 species